UGAGGAAUAUUGGUCAAUGGACGCAAGUCUGAACCAGCCAAGUAGCGUGCAGGAUGACGGCCCUAUGGGUUGUAAACUGCUUUUAUAUGGGAAUAAAGUGAGGGACGUGUCCCUUAUUGCAUGUACCAUAUGAAUAAGGACCGGCUAAUUCCGUGCCAGCAGCCGCGGUAAUACGGAAGGUCCAGGCGUUAUCCGGAUUUAUUGGGUUUAAAGGGAGCGUAGGCUGUUUGUUAAGCGUGUUGUGAAAUGUAGGAGCUCAACUUUUAGAUUGCAGCGCGAACUGGCAGACUUGAGUGCGCACAACGUAGGCGGAAUUCAUGGUGUAGCGGUGAAAUGCUUAGAUAUCAUGACGAACUCCGAUUGCGAAGGCAGCUUACGGGAGCGCAACUGACGCUAAAGCUCGAAGGUGCGGGUAUCGAACAGG
rnacentral:rRNA from 1 species